GAACUCACUUUGGCAGCUCACGUACUAAUAUAGGAACAAUACAGAGAAGAUUAGCGAAGCCCCUGUGUAAGGGUGACAUGCAAAUUUGUGAAGCACAGACAGGAGGG
ensembl:snRNA U6 U6 spliceosomal RNA